rnacentral:rRNA from 1 species
GUGGAUUAGAUACCCGGGUAGUCCACGCUGUAAACGAUGAGCACUAGGUGUAGCGGGUACUCAUUCCUGCUGUGCCGCAGCUAACGCGUUAAGUGCUCCGCCUGGGGACUACGGUCGCAAGACUAAAACUCAAAGGAAUUGACGGGGGCCCGCACAAGCGGUGGAGUAUGUGGUUUAAUUCGACGCAACGCGAAGAACCUUACCUGGGCUUGACAUCCCCGGCCAGCCCAAGAAAUUGGGUUUUCCCUUUCGGGGGACCGGGAGACAGGUGCUGCACGGUCGUCGUCAACU